rnacentral:miRNA from 1 species
GGCAACCAUGACCUUGGUCUUGGAAGGAAUGCCAUCCUCUGGAGGACCACGGCGGACACGAGGACGACGGCCCUUUUGUUCCUGGGCUUCUCCGUCGGCGUUGGUGACUUCGUUCAGGCCAGCCUGCU